rnacentral:rRNA from 1 species
AGCGAACGCUGGCGGCAGGCCUAACACAUGCAAGUCGAGCGCCCCGCAAGGGGAGCGGCAGACGGGAGAGUAACACGUGGGAACGUACCCUUCAGUACGGAACAACCAAGGGAAACGGGUGGUAAUGCCGAAUGUGCCCUUCGGGGGAAAGAUUUAUCGCCUUUAGAGCGGCCCGCGUCUGAUUAGCUAGUUGGUGAGGUAAUGGCUCACCAAGGCGACGAUCAGUAGCUGGUCUGAGAGGAUGACCAGCCACAUUGGGACUGAGACACGGCCCAAACUCCUACGGGAGGCAGCAGUGGGGAAUCUUGCGCAAUGGGCGAAAGCCUGACGCAGCCAUGCCGCGUGGAUGAUGAAGGUCUUAGGAUUGUAAAAUCCAUUCACCGGUGAAAAUAAUGACUGUAGCCGGAGAAGAAGCCCCGGCUAACUUCGUGCCAGCCGCCGCCGUAAGAC